rnacentral:misc_RNA from 1 species
AAUAAAAUAAAUUCUCGCACAGUGUAUAUAUUAACUCGCGGAAUGUACUGAGACGCUUCAUAAUAUAUAUAUACACAUACCACUGUACAUAUUAUAUACAUAUAUAAAUCGGGCAGCUGACUUUCUCUAGUUGGAAUGAAUUUUGGAUAAGCAAAUACAAUUGUUCGAGUGUUUAAAUAGAAAAUAAAUAAACGAGUAAACAAAUAUAAAAAAAAAACAGUUAAGGACACAACAUCAAAAUGGAUGAAUUGACAAAUUUCCUCAAGCAGGCGGGAAAAGAAUUCCUAAAUGUCGCUGGUGAUGCUGCAGUGGGCGCGGCGAAAGAGGUUGUGGGUUCGGUGAUUAAUGAAAUUUUCAUCAAGAAAGAGGCUGAUACCAAACGUGUUCUUCCGAGUAUUAAAAAUAUGCGCGUUCUUGGUGAAAGAGGCAGUGGUACGCGCGUACAGGCGGACAUUCAAGAUUUUGACGCCAUUCGGAGUAUGUGCCUUGCCAAUGGCUCCUUAUUUGAAGAUCCACUGUUUCCGGCCAACAACGAAUCUCUUUUGUUUUCGCAACGGCCCGACCGACAUAUCGAGUGGAUGAGGCCACAUGAGAUCACCGAUGAUCCGCAAUUCUUUGUCGAAGGCUAUUCCCGUUUCGAUGUGCAACAGGGUGAAUUGGGCGAUUGCUGGCUGCUUGCAGCCACCGCCAACUUAACUCAGGAUCCAAAUCUCUUCUUUCGUGUUGUGCCACCAGAUCAAAACUUCGAAGAAAACUAUGCGGGCAUCUUCCAUUUUUGCUUCUGGCAAUAUGGCAAAUGGAUCGAUGUGGUCGUGGACGAUCGUUUGCCAACCUAUCGGGGUGAACUAAUGUACAUGCAUUCCACUGAGAAAAAUGAAUUCUGGAGUGCACUCUUGGAGAAGGCCUAUGCCAAAUUACAUGGCUCAUAUGAGGCCUUGAAGGGCGGCACCACUUGUGAGGGCAUGGAAGACUUUACGGGUGGUGUAACGGAAUGGUAUGAUUUGAAGGAAGCACCACAAAAUCUAUUCAAUAUUCUCCAUAAAGCAGUUGAUCGCAACUCUUUAAUGGGUUGCUCACUGGAGCCAGAUCCAAAUGUUUUGGAAGCAGAGACACGUGAAGGUCUCAUACGCGGUCAUGCCUACUCUAUAACCAAAGUGUGCUUACUCGAUAUCGCUGUGCCAAAUCGUCAGGGUAAAAUACCAAUGAUACGUAUGCGUAAUCCUUGGGGUAAUGAGGCCGAAUGGAAUGGUCCGUGGAGUGAUAGUUCACCUGAAUGGCGUUAUAUACCGGAAGAUCAAAAGCAGGAAAUCGGUUUGACAUUUGAUCGUGAUGGUGAAUUUUGGAUGUCAUUUCAAGAUUUUCUCAAUCAUUUCGAUCGAGUGGAGAUAUGUAAUUUAUCACCCGAUUCCCUAACCGAGGAACAACAGAAUAGCGGUAAGCGUCGUUGGGAAAUGUCAAUGUUUGAGGGUGAAUGGACGCAAGGUAUGACGGCGGGUGGUUGUCGUAACUUCUUAGACACCUUCUGGCAUAAUCCACAAUAUGUUAUAACACUGAUGGAUCCCGAUGAGGAUGAUGAUGAUGGCAAAUGUACCGUUAUUGUGGCGUUGAUGCAAAAAAAUCGUCGUUCGAAACGUAAUAUGGGUAUGGAAUGCUUAACCAUCGGUUUUGCCAUCUAUCAUCUAACUGAUGAGGAUAUGCAAACUAAGCCACAAGGUUUAAGUUUCUUUAAAUAUCGUGCAUCGGUGGGACGUUCACCACAUUUCAUUAAUACACGUGAGGUGUGCGCACGCUUUAAACUCCCCCCAGGUCAUUAUUUAAUUGUGCCCUCAACAUUUGACCCGAAUGAGGAAGGUGAAUUCGUUAUUCGUGUUUUCUCGGAAACUCAGAAUAACAUGGAAUCCUUCCAAUACUACUAAUUCACCAGAGAGAAUGACGACCAUGUUGGAUAUGGUAGCCCGACGGAUGAUAAGGUGUUACCAAAUUUGCCAAACCCAAUGGAUCCCAAACCGAAGGAUGCACAUAAUGAAAGUCUUUUAAAACUUUUCA